AACGAACGCUGGCGGCAUGCCUAACACAUGCAAGUCGAACGAGACCUUCGGGUCUAGUGGCGCACGGGUGCGUAACGCGUGGGAACCUGCCCUUAGGUUCGGAAUAACUCCCCGAAAGGGGUGCUAAUACCGGAUAAUGUCUUCGGACCAAAGAUUUAUCGCCUUUGGAUGGGCCCGCGUUGGAUUAGCUAGUUGGUAGGGUAAAAGCCUACCAAGGCGACGAUCCAUAGCUGGUCUGAGAGGAUGAUCAGCCACACUGGGACUGGGACACGGCCCAGACUCCUACGGGAGGCAGCAGUGGGGAAUAUUGGACAAUGGGCGAAAGCCUGAUCCAGCAAUGCCCCGUGAGUGAUGAAGGCCUUAGGGUUGUAAAGCUCUUUUACCCGGGAUGAUAAUGACAGUACCGGGAGAAUAAGCUCCGGCUAACUCCGUG
rnacentral:rRNA from 1 species